rnacentral:rRNA from 1 species
GAUGAACGCUAGCGGCAGGCUUAAUACAUGCAAGUCGAACGGUAAGAUUGGUAGCAAUACUGAUCCAAGAGUGACGUACGGGUGCGUAACACGUAUGCAACCUACCCAAAACAGGAGGAUAGCUCGGGGAAACUCGAAUUAACCCUCCAUAAGAUCAUAGAGUAGCAUUACUUAGUGAUUAAAACUCCGGUGGUUUUGGAUGGGCAUGCGUCUGAUUAGUUAGUUGGCGGGGUAACGGCCCACCAAGACGAUGAUCAGUAGGGGAACUGAGAGGUUGAUCCCCCACACUGGCACUGAGAUACGGGCCAGACUCCUACGGGAGGCAGCAGUAGGGAAUAUUGGUCAAUGGGUGCAAGCCUGAACCAGCCAUGCCGCGUGCAGGAAGAAGGCGUUAUGCGUUGUAAACUGCUUUUGCCAGGGGAUAAAAUAGCUUUGCGAAGCUAAUUGAAGGUACCUGGUGAAUAAGCCACGGCUAACUACGUGCCAGCAGCCGCGGUAAUACGUAGGUGGCGAGCGUUGUCCGGAUUUAUUGGGUUUAAAGGGUGCGUAGGCGGCCCUGUAAGUCAGUGCUGAAGUAUCCCGGCUUAACCGGGAGGGUGGCAUUGAUACUGCGGGGCCUGAGUGGAGUCGAAGUAGGCGGAGUUGACGGUGUAGCGGUGAAAUGCUUAGAUAUCGUCAAGAACACCGAUAGUGAAGACAGUUUACUAGGCUUUUACUGACGCUGAGGCACGAAAGUGUGGGGAUCAAACAGGAUUAGAUACCCUGGUAGUCCACACUGUAAACGUUGAUAACUCGCUGUUGGCGAUACACAGCCAGCGGCCAAGCGCAAGCGAUAAGUUAUCCACCUGGAGAGUACGCCGGCAACGGUG